UCCCUGGUAGCUCAGAUGAUAAAGCGUCUGCCUACAAUGCAGGAGACCCGGGUUCGAUCCCUGGGUCGGGAA
rfam:Ovis aries breed Texel chromosome 18, whole genome shotgun sequence.